rnacentral:rRNA from 1 species
AGUGAACGCUGGCGGCAGGCCUAACACAUGCAAGUCGAACGGCAGCACAGGAGAGCUUGCUCUCUGGGUGGCGAGUGGCGGACGGGUGAGGAAUAUAUCGGAAUCUACCCUUUCGUGGGGGAUAACGUAGGGAAACUUACGCUAAUACCGCAUACGAACUGAGGUUGAAAGCGGCGGACCGCAAGGCGUCGCGCGGAUGGAUGAGCCGAUAUCCGAUUAGCUAGUUGGCGGGGUAAAGGCCCACCAAGGCGACGAUCGGUAGCUGGUCUGAGAGGAUGAUCAGCCACACUGGAAAUGAGACACGGUCCAGACUCCUACGGGAGGCAGCAGUGGGGAAUAUUGGACAAUGGGCGCAAGCCUGAUCCAGCCAUGCGGCGUGUGUGAAGAAGGCCUUCGGGUUGUAAAGCACUUUUGUUGGGAAAGAAAAGCGGUCGGUUAAUACCCGGUCGUUCUGACGGUACCCAAAGAAUAAGCACCGGCUAAUUUCGUGCCAGCCGCCGCCGUAA